GACGAACGCUGGCGGCGUGCUUAACACAUGCAAGUCGAACGGAAAGGCCUCUUUCGGGGGGUACUCGAGUGGCGAACGGGUGAGUAACACGUGAGUAACCUGCCCUUGACUUUGGGAUAACUUCAGGAAACUGGGGCUAAUACCGGAUAGGAGCUCCUGCUGCAUGGUGGGGGUUGGAAAGAUUCGGCGGUUGGGGGUGGACUCGCGGCUUAUCAGCUUGUUGGUGGGGUAGUGGCUUACCAAGGCUUUGACGGGUAGCCGGCCUGAGAGGGUGACCGGCCACAUUGGGACUGAGAUACGGCCCAGACUCCUACGGGAGGCAGCAGUGGGGAAGAUUGCACAAUGGGUGGAGGCCUGAUGCAGCAACGCCGUGUGCGGGAUGACGGCCUUCGGGUUGUAAACCGCUUUCGCUCAUGACGAAGCUUUGUGUGACGGUAGUGGGUAAAGAAGCACCGGCUAACUACGUG
rnacentral:rRNA from 1 species